rnacentral:tRNA from 1 species
GUUGCGGUGGCCGAGUGGUUAAGCCGUUCGACUAGAAAUGCAAUGGGAUCUUCCGCGCAGGCUCAAAUCCUGCCCGCAACG